CUCUCUCUCUCUCUCUCUCUCUCUGCGCUCAACUAUAUCUUACAAAUGAUUUAACUUUUGCAAAAGCCACCCUCCUUAAACCCAUUGUCAUUGUUCUCAUUCUCUUGGUACACGGACACGGGGAAAGGAUUUCAAGAGGGUGCUCCUCGUACAACUUCCGACCGAUUCUUCAUCUCAUACCAAACAAGAUUUAGUUUCAGUCAGAUCGAGUGGUCAGGGACGCCUUGGAAGCUUGAUGAGUGUUGAACUCGCUAACAUGCGAAAGUAGCAAAAAGCUUAACCAUCGGCCAGCAACUCCAACGGAAUGGACACGAGAGAAAGGAGGACAUCUACUUCAAUUCCUGGAAGGAAAAUAACCGAACAUAGCAGUGGGAGUUCCUUCUCAAUAGGAUGUGGGAAAUUUCCACGAGCGACCACAUACUUCAGCUUGGAAUGGAUCCUCUUGCUCAUGUGCCUGACGGCGAUUCUGCUGAUACUGCCUCUCGUUCUUCCGCCAUUGCCUCCCCCUCCUUCCAUGUUGCUGUUGCUCCCUAUUGCCAUCCUAUCUGUGCUCCUGAUAUUAGCUUUCACGCCUUCUAACAUUAGAGACUUGACCUAUGCGUAUUGCUAAUUCCAAUUUGAAUUCGUCAUGCUCUUUUCAUUUACUUUAAAUUUGAUUUUUGAAGAGUUAAAAGAGGAAGGGAAUUUUAGGAGAAGAGACUUCUUUCGAUCUA